rnacentral:rRNA from 1 species
GAUGAACGCUGGCGGCGUGCCUAAUACAUGCAAGUCGAGCGAACGGACGAGAAGCUUGCUUCUCUGAUGUUAGCGGCGGACGGGUGAGUAACACGUGGAUAACCUACCUAUAAGACUGGGAUAACUUCGGGAAACCGGAGCUAAUACCGGAUAAUAUUUUGAACCGCAUGGUUCAAAAGUGAAAGACGGUCUUGCUGUCACUUAUAGAUGGAUCCGCGCUGCAUUAGCUAGUUGGUAAGGUAACGGCUUACCAAGGCAACGAUGCAUAGCCGACCUGAGAGGGUGAUCGGCCACACUGGAACUGAGACACGGUCCAGACUCCUACGGGAGGCAGCAGUAGGGAAUCUUCCGCAAUGGGCGAAAGCCUGACGGAGCAACGCCGCGUGAGUGAUGAAGGUCUUCGGAUCGUAAAACUCUGUUAUUAGGGAAGAACAUAUGUGUAAGUAACUGUGCACAUCUUGACGGUACCUAAUCAGAAAGCCACGGCUAACUACGUGCCAGCAGCCGCGGUAAUACGUAGGUGGCAAGCGUUAUCCGGAAUUAUUGGGCGUAAAGCGCGCGUAGGCGGUUUUUUAAGUCUGAUGUGAAAGCCCACGGCUCAACCGUGGAGGGUCAUUGGAAACUGGAAAACUUGAGUGCAGAAGAGGAAAGUGGAAUUCCAUGUGUAGCGGUGAAAUGCGCAGAGAUAUGGAGGAACACCAGUGGCGAAGGCGACUUUCUGGUCUGUAACUGACGCUGAUGUGCGAGAGCGUGGGGAUCAAACAGGAUUAGAUACCCUGGUAGUCCACGCCGUAAACGAUGAGUGCUAAGUGUUAGGGGGUUUCCGCCCCUUAGUGCUGCAGCUAACGCAUUAAGCACUCCGCCUGGGGAGUACGACCACAAGGUUGAAACUCAAAGGAAUUGACGGGGACCCGCACAAGCGGUGGAGCAUGUGGUUUAAUUCGAAGCAACGCGAAGAACCUUACCAAAUCUUGACAUCCUUUGACAACUCUAGAGAUAGAGCUUUCCCCUUCGGGGGACAAAGUGACAGGUGGUGCAUGGUUGUCGUCAGCUCGUGUCGUGAGAUGUUGGGUUAAGUCCCGCAACGAGCGCAACCCUUAAGCUUAGUUGCCAUCAUUAAGUUGGGCACUCUAAGUUGACUGCCGGUGACAAACCGGAGGAAGGUGGGGAUGACGUCAAAUCAUCAUGCCCCUUAUGAUUUGGGCUACACACGUGCUACAAUGGACAAUACAAAGGGCAGCGAAACCGCGAGGUCAAGCAAAUCCCAUAAAGUUGUUCUCAGUUCGGAUUGUAGUCUGCAACUCGACUACAUGAAGCUGGAAUCGCUAGUAAUCGUAGAUCAGCAUGCUACGGUGAAUACGUUCCCGGGUCU